GAACUUUGGGGAGACUGGCCCUGGGAGGCGACAGAUGGAGGCUGAGGAAGUAGAGUGAUCCCUGGCCCCUGCCUGUCCCUGAAGACUGUCUGCCUGGAUGAGGGGUGAGGCUGAGGUGCCCCCUUGCCCGGCGCUGAGUCAUGGGCAUCCCCCAGGGUCACUGCCUCAGCGCUCUCAGCCCUGCCCCCUCCUGGUCUCUCUCUGAGAAAUCCAUGACUCACAUAUAUCGUCAAGCUCACGGAGGAGGGAGGAGCCCAGCUGGGGCAGGAGUGGGGUGUCUCCCCACCAAACAAACCUGGUCCCUCCCUCUCCGCACUAGCUGCCUGCCCUGCCCUGCCGUAGGAGAUGGGCUGGGAGCCUCCCACGCUCUCCAGCUCACUCGGCAGGCAGCGGGGACCAGGGCUGGCAGGUUAAGCCUCUGGGGGUGGAUCCUGAAAGGUGGUGCAGCCGCCUGGCCCUGCGUGGGACCCUCCACCUGGCAGCAGAGUCUUGCUCUGUCACCCAGGCUGGAGUGCAGUGGUG
rnacentral:sRNA from 1 species